GCUGUAAGUUUUUUUGAAAAUUAUCGAAUUACCGUUUAUUAAUACCUUUUUUGCCCUAUGGCGUUGCUAUGGAUGAGUGAAAUAAUCAGCGAAACAUUCUUCACAUCUUUCAUAACAUACUAACGAGCGAGUCAAAAAAUAUUCGUACCUCUAACGGUAAACUGUACUUUCUGUGGAAUUGGCGUAAAUUUGGCACUAACUUCAUAGGUGGACUACGCAAUUUUACGAAUCAAAAAGGAAAACAAUUUCCAUUUUACAUAAUUUAGGACACCUUUGGACCAGCUACAGAGUUUGCUAAUGUGCCGUCCCAAGAUGCAUACUGCUGCUACGUUAUGAAAGUUUUGACGUUGGCUUGGAGGAGGGCGUUUGGAGAACGAAAACGAACUCUAGAAUGUUAAAUACCUCACAAAUUGUUGUUGGGUUUUUAUAUGUUCCAUUUUGACAACUUCAUAAAUAGAUCUUGUUGCACUA